UCAAGUAGUCCGUGGGUGCGCGGUGCGCG
rnacentral:sRNA from 1 species